GCCUAAAACUCAUGUUUGAAGCACACAUAUAGUGGAAUACCAAUGUGCCGAGAUAAGGAUCUUUUCUGAAUCUCGCAAUUUUGGUGGCAUACCCUGCUACAGCAUGUUUGUUAUUAUGACUGUUUCUACUUCUGGUUAGAAGACAACCCAGCUGAGGGAUAGAGUUUCAGAGACAUGAAGAGUGUGAAGUGAUCUGCCAUGUAUGUACCAGAUCUGUUUGAUGAAAGUCAAUCAUCUGGAUGAUAAAGCAUCAGGAAGUUUAUCUCAUCAUGUGGAGUUAUGCUGUUGGUUGCUGUGAAUUCCAUUUUUACGGUUUCUUCUCUCUUCCUGUUCUUAUCAUGAACAUUUCAGUGUAUUUCUUAGAAAAGAGCACGCAGCUUCUUUAGGAAUCGUGCUGUCCUGGCACGAAGAUUCUUGUGCAAAUGCUGACCUUUGUCCAUGACGGAAGAGGGACUUCCACCAACAUCCUUAUCUUCGCGACGCAUGCUCUUCACUGCUUCUAAACACAAUUUGUUGUACUUCACUGGCGAAUUGGCGAG